CGGGGGUGCUUACACAUGCAGUCGAACGAUGACCUCCAUGCUUGCUCGCGGGUGAUUAGUGGCGAACGGGUGAGUAACACGUGAGUAACCUGCCCUUAACUCUGGGAUAAGCCUGGGAAACUGGGUCUAAUACCGGAUAUGACUCCUCAUCGCAUGGUGGGGGGUGGAAAGCUUUUUGUGGUUUUGGAUGGACUCGCGGCCUAUCAGCUUGUUGGUGAGGUAAUGGCUCACCAAGGCGACGACGGGUAGCCGGCCUGAGAGGGUGACCGGCCACACUGGGACUGAGACACGGCCCAGACUCCUACGGGAGGCAGCAGUGGGGAAUAUUGCACAAUGGGCGAAAGCCUGAUGCAGCGACGCCGCGUGAGGGAUGACGGCCUUCGGGUUGUAAACCUCUUUCAGUAGGGAAGAAGCGAAAGUGACGGUACCUGCAGAAGAAGCGCCGGCUAACUACGUGCCAGCAGCCGCGGUAAUACGUAGGGCGCAAGCGUUAUCCGGAAUUAUUGGGCGUAAAGAGCUCGUAGGCGGUUUGUCGCGUCUGCCGUGAAAGUCCGGGGCUCAACUCCGGAUCUGCGGUGGGUACGGGCAGACUAGAGUGAUGUAGGGGAGACUGGAAUUCCUGGUGUAGCGGUGAAAUGCGCAGAUAUCAGGAGGAACACCGAUGGCGAAGGCAGGUCUCUGGGCAUUAACUGACGCUGAGGAGCGAAAGCAUGGGGAGCGAACAGGAUUAGAUACCCUGGUAGUCCAUGCCGUAAACGUUGGGCACUAGGUGUGGGGGACAUUCCACGUUUUCCCGCGCCGUAGCUAACGCAUUAAGUGCCCCGCCUGGGGAGUACGGCCGCAAGGCUAAACUCA
rnacentral:rRNA from 1 species